UACGGGAGGCAGCAGUGAGGAAUAUUGGUCAAUGGACGAGAGCCUGAACCAGCCAAGUAGCGUGCAGGAUGACGGCCCUAUGGGUUGUAAACUGCUUUUAUAAGGGAAUAAAGUGAGUCUCGUGAGACUUUUUGCAUGUACCUUAUGAAUAAGGACCGGCUAAUUCCGUGCCAGCAGCCGCGGUAAUACGGAAGGUCCGGGCGUUAUCCGGAUUUAUUGGGUUUAAAGGGAGCGUAGGCCGGAGAUUAAGCGUGUUGUGAAAUGUAGACGCUCAACGUCUGCACUGCAGCGCGAACUGGUUUCCUUGAGUACGCACAAAGUGGGCGGAAUUCGUGGUGUAGCGGUGAAAUGCUUAGAUAUCACGAAGAACUCCGAUUGGGAAGGCAGCUCACUGGAGCGCAACUGACGCUGAAGCUCGAAAGUGCGGGUAUCGAACAGGAUUAGAUACCCUGGUAGUCCGCACGGUAAACGAUGGAUGCCCGCUGUUGGUCUGAAUAGGUCAGCGGCCAAGCGAAAGCAUUAAGCAUCCCACCUGGGGAGU
rnacentral:rRNA from 1 species